AAAAGUUUUCACUUGUAUCCCAUUUGGGGGGUAAAGAAGCAGGUUAGGGAAGAAGGGAAAGAAAACAUCUGCAGAGCACAGAAGAUGUAAAGUCCUGUGCCAGAUGGACCUCACCUGUCUGCGUGGAGCAUCUGCAGGUUUCCUCACCUGCAAAAUGGGAAAUCCAUAGUACCUAUUUCACAGGACAACUGUAGAAUCACAUGAGGAGCAGUGAAGGAAGAAAGCUGAAGCUGAGCAUCCAAAGAGGAGAACUAGCUAACAAAAGGCUGAAAAAACAUCUUACCCCUUACUUAUUAGCCUCAUUCUUCUUUGACUUUCUGGCAUUGGAAACUGCAAAAUAAAUCCAUGGUAC